ACAUACUAAUUGCAAUAGUUUUCGCUCAGCUAGUAGACAUACUAAUUGCAAUACUAACUGUAAUGCAUGCUUUGAGUCAUAGCCUCUAAACUGUUGGGUGCGAAGAACAAUCCCCUCCCCUCUCUUUUCCCCAAAAACUUUUAAAAUAAGAGAGAGUCAUAACUUUCCUUCUGAACUUGGUUCUACAGGAAGGGAAGGGUAUUUAAUCUGAUGACAAGUCUUUCCUGCUAGAACACCCCCCUUCUCUACCUUUGUCUCUCUUCCUACACUGAAUCUUGUCCCCCCAAAAAUAAGGAAAUCUAUCUUCUUCUUCUUCUUCUUCUUUUUAAUCUGGCCUGUUACCUGAGGAAACACUAAAUUGUCUCUGGACAAACCUAUAGCUCAAGGGUUGCUGUUUCUGGCCCUUCAAAUGAGGGUCUAAAUCUUAGAGCCAUGUAGUUUAUUUUUCCAUUUAUGGAAGUAUUAUCAUUUCAAGUUAAGCAGAUUAGCUUCUUGUUAGCUUCUCUUAUUUUAAGUAUUCUUAUAACUGGUAGUUCUUUGAACAGAUGCAGGGCUUAUGGAAAGUCAAACAUGAGCACAUGUCUGAGUUGUAUGAGCAGGCAAAGAAACUGAAAAAUAAGUUUCUUUCAUUCCAGAUUAAUCAUGUUUUAAGGGAACUGAACACUGAGGCUGAUGCUCAAGCAAACUUGGCUGUCAAUCUUGCUGAAGGUCAAAUCCAGGAGGAGUUAGCAUAAUACAUAUAAUUGAUUGCAGGCAGAAGUUUGUCAGGUUUGUUUUAGAAUACAUUUAUAAAGUACAAAUUACGUAAAAAAAUUCACUGUGUGGGCUAAAGUUUGUUCCUGGGUAGGUGCCAAAUUUUGAGAAGUUUAAACCCCUGAAGAUCAUAUGAUUGUUGGCCUUCUAGCUCAUGUCUGCAAGGAACAAUGUGACUGCCGUUUUUUUUUAUGGGCAGAGGCAUGUUAACUGCAGCUCAAUUAAGUCUGAAAUUUGCGCCUAAAGGCAUAUAUUUUGGUUUUAUUUUAAAGCCUUGUACAACAGAUGGUGGGAACCUAAGAUCAUCCACACUGACGGUGGUGAAUGCCUUUCGAGUAAUCUAUAUAUAUGGCAUAGAUUUUUCUUUGCCAUAUAUUUUUCUUUGCCAUAAGAUAACUCUUGGGUGUUGUUUUGCAUCUCUCUUCACCAGGCAAGCAAUUUCAUUUUAUUCAAAUACAGAAAGAUUAGACAUGUAAUUUGGGUGAAACAGUUCAAGAUUGAAUCUUUGUUCCUUGUCUUAUAGGGGUUCCACAUUCUUUUCUCCUUCAUGGGACUCUGUUUUUACAUUUGAAGUGUAUGUUACCAGUAAUUGAUGGUUAAAAAGAGUGGCGUUGCCACUCUUUUGAGCACAGUGAACACCAAAGUACUGGUGUCUCCUCUCACUUAUGCCUGAUCUGUUGUCAUUGCAUGGAUUAACAAUAUUAUUGUCAGAAACGUAUAUGAUUUAUUCCCAAUUUUCUCCAGA